rnacentral:lncRNA from 1 species
AUGUGUGUGUAUAUAUAUAUAUAUAUAUACAUGGAUACAAAACAUACAUCCACAGUGUUCCCUUAUAUAUAUAUACAUAUAUAUAUAUAUAUAUACAUAUACAUAUAUAUAUAUAUACAUAUAUAUAUAUACACACACAUACAUACAUACACUUAUAUAUGUAUGUGUGUAUGUUUGUAUAUAUGUAUGUACAUAUGUAUGUAUGUAUGCAUAUCCCUAAGGCAAGCCUGUGUCAAAGUUUUGGACUUCACUAAGGUAUUCAUUUAUCUUAAAAUGAAUAAAAUGCGAGUACUAACUUAUGCUGAUUUAUACUUCAUUAGGUGAUCCAGGAGGAUCAAGAUUCGAUGUGGACCAUUUGCCCCAUACGGGCAGGGUUGUAAAGGGUCCAGGAGCAAGAUCUGCCACAUUGGAUAGCUGAAUCGCAUACCAAACUUUUAGAGGCCAAAACUUGUCUAUAUGACCUCUAAUUGAGAUGGUUCUUUUUUUUCCAAAUUGGGUGAUUUUUCAAAAUCUACAUUGUGGCGUCAUCCCUUAAAGGGUUUAGCCCCAAAAUGAAACGGUCAAAUCAAAAACUUUCUUUUCAGAAAGGAUUUUGAUCGAGUGUAUCUUCCAAUUCGGAAAGAAUUAAGUGGAGUAACAAGAGGCAAAGUUAAUAUAGGAGUUGAGAUCUACCUCUUGUAGAAUUUUUUUUUUCGGUGUUUAUUUUCACUAGUCAUGUCUAUUUUGAGAAAGCUAGUGUUGUUCGAACUAGCAUAAAUAGAGACUAUGUACCUCAGUUUUUGAGGUAUUAAUGAAAGAAAAGGGACCUAAAUCCUAUUUUCACCAUCUUUGUUUUUUUUCUCCUAAAUUUUUUUUGAAAGAUUCGAGUUGAGUGGGUUGAGAAAAUUUUCCUUCUCCACAAUCGGUUCAUUAGGUUAUAUUUAAUUAUAGUUUCUUUGGUUGCUUUCUUCAUGUGCCAAGCCUUUCUGAGUUGUCAUAGUUCAAUUUGAUUCAGGUGCAUUGAUUCAUAAUAUACAACAGUUAAAUAUAAUGCUUGGAAAUACAUGGAAAUUCAAGAAAUAGGCUCUAGAUUGUUGAUUUCUAAACAUGCUAAUGGUUUGUGGAUUAUAUCACUUGAUAAUUUCUAAGCCAUAACUUUAUCCCAAGGAUUUAGGUCAAUUUCAACGAUAAUAUAGUAGAAUGGCCUUUGGAACAAACAUGGUGCCAAUGCACUUCAUGUUCUGUCACUAGAAUAGCUUCUCUUAGAUUCUUGGCCUAUAAACACAUUGUAUUUCUUAUAAUCAUUUAGCUUGAUGUUAAUGUUUAUAUAGAUUUUGCUGCUCUGGAGCUCAAUAGCAAGUGGGGCAGUAUAUAAUAUUCAAAGUAAUUAAUGAGUUGCUUCUUGUGUUGUUUAGUUGUUUAGAGUAUUGGGAAGGCAAACACUGAUUUUCUUUUACCCCUAAAGAUCAACAAACACAUCUAAAAGAUAAUAAAAUAGGAGGAAUGAUACAUCAUCCACUAUUUGUUUAGUAUAGAACAAUGUUGGCUGUACCCAAGAUAAUAAAAUAGGAGGAAUGAUACAUCGUCCACUAUUUGCUUAGUAUAGAACUAAAUGUUGGCUGUACCACCCCAAACCACCCGGUUCGAGGCAUAACAAACCAAACCAAAGGGGAACCCAAAACGUCUGCCCUGUUGGCUCAAAACCAUUCCAUUUAAUCCUUUCCUCAUUUGAUUAAGGCCCGAUUUGUUUAAAAAAAUACCCUCUAUCGCACCCCAAAUCUAGGACAUAAUGCUACCAAGGGUUGCAACCCAGGAUAACAUGAAGCCAAUAAUCAUAAUCUCAAAUAAAAUAAAAGGUCCAAAUCCAUCAUCUAAUAAAUAAUUGAAUAAAUGUUGGUUCAGAGCGACUAAAUCCAUAUUUAAAUACCAAAACUCAUAACCUCAAAAUUCAAAAAGUCACCAACUACAAAUUCAUAGUCAACUAAAUAACUAAAAUUCUGCUUCAAAGUCUCAAAGCUUGCUAGAGCCCGAACUCCAAGCCUAGACCAUUCUUCAUUUCAAGUGAUCCUAUUUGUCUAGGAGAAAAAAGAAAAUAAAAAGAAAUAUGAGCUAUAUAGCUCAGUAAGUAAAAUUACACUAUCUUAUCGAAUCAAACAUAAGUUUUAUAUAAACAAUGCAUCAUUUAGAGAAAAUAAUUUUCAUUGUAAAGUAAUAUACUUCACAAUACAUUCUGAUAAAAUAAGUCAUAAUUAAUCAUGCAUGCAUAAAUCAUCAAUAUUUCAUAAAUAUGGUUCCAAGUGUAUAUUGCAAAUAAAAUUAUAAAUCGUUCAUUGCUAUUUAGUUACAUCAUAGUUCAAAGCACUGCUCACAAAUAUUCGUGCUAAGGUCACUUUAUAUCCAUAACAGGGCCUAUGCUCAUAAUUGGCAAAGUUUCAUGAUUCAUAGUUUAUAUGCCAAAUUUAUACUUGAUGGCACGCCCUAUGUUCGCAUAGAACUAGUUCCGAAUGUCGAUCUCUCCCAAUUUUGGGGGCCGCAUAUAGCUAUCUGAGAGCCUUUAUAAUAUUUAUAUCUUUUUCUUAAAACAUACGCAUAAGUAGGUGAAAAAAAACUAAAUGGCAUGAUGAAAAUUUUUAUUUCAUAAACAAGCUAUGUACAUUAAAAACACUCAUAGAACAAUUUUGCGUAAUAAAGCAUAAUUUUUAUAAUACAUAUGUUGAUCCUUUGUCUUAAGAAAAUAUGAUAUCCUCAACACAAACCAUAUGCAUGAAAAACACAUGAUAGUUUGAAAAUUAAUAAGGAGUAUAUGGUCUACUUACCACUUUUGCUUUGAGCCUUCAAAAUUCACUAGGCAAAUCAGCUAAAUCUAUUUAAAACAUUAAAAGCAAAAUUAAUUCCUAUUUGAUGAUUUUAAUAGUAUUAAAAUAACAAGAAAAGGAGAUGAUUGGCUAGGUGACGAUGUGCGAUGACUUUGGGUGGGUUAGGUCUUUCGAUCAACGAAUCAUGAAGCAGAACUUGAUCAAAGCCAAGAUUAGUAGAUUUCAAAGACUCAACAGGGGUCGGGAUGAUCAGUCCGAUAGGCUGCCUGAUGGCCAGGGACUAGGAUCCCUUACUAUGAUUCAACCAAUGCUACAAGGUUCCACCGAUGGGGCCCAUGGGUCAAAAGUGGAGAGAGAAAGAGGGUAGAGAGAGAAAGAAUCAUGCAUUGGAUCUAUUGUAUUUAUUACUAAUAUUCUUUUUCUUGUUUCUUCUUGACAAGAUACGAAAGCAUGCUCGUGCCUUCUUAUUAGAUUAGAGGAAGAGAAGGAAGGGCAUGAGGGAAAAGAACCUAAUGGUGGAUGUGGCCAGUGAGGGUCCUGGCCAUGGUGAUGUAGCCACUAGCUUGACAGUAGGCAACAGGGCACGCUGGUGAUAGUAAACGGCCGAUGAACAACUGAUGAGGAGGAGAUAAAAAAACAGGAAACAGGGGAUUUUUUUUACUUGGUUCGGUUUUUGGGUUCCAGCUCGCUUGUCGGCUGCAGGGACUCUGGUAUAAGUCAUGAGGAAGCAGCCAAGAGCCUCGACAAUGAACACCGGCAACAGAGGCGGUUGUAAGAAGAAACAAAAAUAGCAAAAAUAGGGGAUGCAAAUGGAGGGUUUUUGGCCAUUGAUUCUGAUGUAUUUCUUAACUAGCAAUGAGCUCCAACAUAAGAGAAGAUGAGAAGGAUAAGAAAGGAGAUCGGGCUCUUACCUCGGCUUUGGUGAGUGUUGAUCCCAAUCUCCAGUGGGCACCAUACUAGGAAACAACAAACUUGAAGGGGAAAAUGAAGGAGAAAGAAGAUCUAUGCUUAACGAUGGAGGGUCGUGAAGGGGAGGGGGUUUCUUUAUAUGAAGGAGCCUAGGGUUCCGGUGGCUGCUAGGUCUCCAAUUUCUUCCCAAAGUGGUUAGGGUUUCACAGAUGGAAACAAGACUCCCGAUGGGAGUCUUCUGCCCAUCACGCACGAAGCACGCCCAACUUCGGCUAGGUUAAGCUGUAGGUGGGUUCGGCCAGUUGAGUGGACUAGGCUAGAUCGGGCCAUUUCAUUCUUCCCUUCUUAAAAGAGUUUCGUUCUCGAAACUUAAUGUAUCUUCACUUUUAAACAAGUCAAGAUACUUAGUCUUCAUCUAAUACUCCACCAUGCUUUUGCAAAGUAACUUUGGUCUAAACCCAUGCUUCUUGGACUUAAUACUCUAGAUCAAUUCUAUUAAACCUAAUCUUAAGUUCUACCCAUUAUUAGACUCUAAGUUCUACCCACGAUCAAACCUAUGCUAUGAUACCAUCAAAUGUCACGUCCCAAAUCUGGGACAUAAUACGACCAUGCUACCGAGGGGUACAACACGCGAUAACACAAAGCCAACAAUCAUAAUCUCAAAUAAAAUAAAAGAUCCAAAUCCAUCAUCCAUUAAAUAAUUGAAUAAAUAUUAGUUUAGAGCGACUAAAUUCAAAUUCAAAUAUCAAAACCCAUAACCUCAAAAUUCAGAAAGUCACUAACUACAAAUUCAUAGUCAAUUAAAGAACUAAAAUUGUGCUUUAAAAUCUUCAAACUUGCUAGCAUAAACUCUAAGCCCGGACCAUUCUUCAUUCCAAGUAACCCUAUUCAUUUGGAAAAAGAAAAGAAAAAUAAAAAGAGAUAUGAGCUAUACAACUUAGUAAGUAAAAGUUAUACUACCUAGUUGGAUCAAUAAUAUGUUUUUAUAUUAACAAAAUAUUCAUUUAGAGAAAAUAAUUUUCAUUGUAAAAUCAAAUAUUUCAUACUACAUUCUGAUAAAACAAGUCAUAAUCAAUCAUACAUGCAUAAAUCAUCAAUAUUUCAUCAAUAUGGUUCCAAGUAUAUAUUGCAAAUAAAAUCAUAAAUAAUUCUUUGCCAUUUAGUCACAUCAUAGUUCAAAUCAUUGCUCAUAGAUAUUCAUGCUAAGGUCAUUUUAUAUCCAUGAUAAUCCCUGUGUUCAUAAUCGACAAAGUAUCAUGAUUCAUGGUUCAUAUGCCAACUUUAUACCCGCUAGUAGGGCCUGUGUUCAUAUGGAAUUAUUUUCGAAUGUUGAUCUCCUCCAAUUCUAGGGGCCAUAAAAUAGCUAUCUGAGAUCUUUAAAAUAUUUAUAUCUUUUUGUUAAAACAUGCACAUAAGUAGCUGAAAAAAUACUAAAUGGCACGAUAAAAAUUCAUAUUUCAUAAAGAAGCUAUAUUCAUUAAAAAUACUCAUGGAACCACUUUUUAUAACAAAGCAUAAUUUUCAUAAUACGUAUUUGUUUUAAGAAAACAAGAUAUCAUCAAUGACAAACCAUAUGCAUGAUAUAUAAUAGUUUGAAAAUUAAUAAGGAGUGUAAGGUCUACUUACCUCUUUUGCUUUGAGCCUUUAAAAUUUACUAGGCGAGUCAGCUAAACCUAUUAAAAGCAUUUAAAGUGAAAUUAAUUCCUAUUUGAUGACUUUGAUAGUAUUAAAAUAAUAAGAAAAGGGGACGGUUGGCCGGGUGAUGGCGUGCGACAGCUCCGGGUGGGUCAGAUCUUUCGAUCAAUAAAUUAUGAAGCAAGGUCUCAAUCAAAGCCAAGAUUGUUUGAUUGGGAUCAUUAAUAAUGGAUUUCAGAGACACUCAACAAGAGACGGGGUGAUCGGUUCGACAGGCUGCCCAGUGGCCAGGGGCCAGGAUCCCUUAUUAUGAUUCAACUAAUGUUGCAAAGUCCCAUUGGUGGGCCCAUGGGUUGAAAAGGAUAGAUCAAGAGGGUAGAGAGAGAAAGAAUCAGGCAAUGGAUCUAUUAUUUUUAUUAUUGUUAUUCUUUUUCUCUUUCCUUUUCUUUUUCUUCAUUUUUUUGGCAAGAUAAAGAAGCAUGCCUGUGCUCCCUUAUCAGAACAGAGGAAGAGGAGGAAGGGCAUAGGGGAAAAGGGGAAAAGAACUUGAUGGUGGUUGUGGCCAAUGAGGGUGCUAGAUAUGGCAGUGUAGCCACCAGCCUGACAGUAGCUAAUAGGGCAUGCCAGUGAUAGUAAACGACCGACAAGCAAUCAAUGAGGAUGAGAUAGAAAACAAGAAACAAGGGAUUUUUUUUCUUUUUCUUGGUUCAGUUUUCUAGGCUCCAACUUGCUCGCCAGUGGUUGGGACUCCGGUACAAGUCAUGAGGAAGCAGCUAAGAGCCUCAGUGAUGAACACUGGCGGUGGAGGCAGCCAGGAAAAGAAAGAAAAAUGACAAAAAUAGGGGAUGUAGAUGGUUUUCAAGCAUUGGCAAUGGUGAGCGUUGUGACCCCAAUUUUCGGCAGGCAUAAUACUAGGAAACAACAAACUCGAAGGGGGAAAAGGAGAAAGAGGGGCUAUACUAGACGAUGGAAGGUCGUGGAGAGGAGCGGAUGACUUUAUACAGAGGAGCCUAGGGUUCCGGCGGUCCCUAGGUCUUCGAUUUCUUCUCGGAGUGGUCAGGGUUUGUGGAUGAAAAGAAGACUCCUAAUGGGAGUCUUCCGCCCAUCACGCACGACGCAUGCCCAGCUUUGGCUGGGUUGGGCCUUGGGCCGUAGGUGGGUCUGGCCGAUCGAGUGGACCAGGCUAGUUACCCUCUAACUUGGUAAAAAGUCUCCCUUCCCCCCAACUCGGAUCAUUCGAGAACCU